UUCAUUACAUUCAACCAUUAAUCAGGAAAGAAAAAAAGUCUAAGAUACACUACAGCCUCUUAGACUUUACACUUUAUUGACGUUCAUUUCAUUCCAAUGGUAGACAAUUUGUCUUUGAAGGCAAAUCGGAACUUCUCUAAUAGAGUUUGUCCGAAUCUUAAAUUCUACUCUACGCUUUGUUCUUUUUUCCUAUGUCUCUAGUGAGUAGUGACCAUUACCUUUAUUUCUACAAAUAAAAUUCUUUUAUAACAGAGAAAAUUUCCAGGGCCUUGCUGAAUGAACAAUCCACCCUUCAACUAUGUUAGAUACCCCAUUAAGUAGUAUACAUAAGGCCACAAG
rnacentral:misc_RNA from 1 species